UACGAAGGGGGCUAGCGUUGCUCGGAAUCACUGGGCGUAAAGCGCACGUAGGCGGAUCUUUAAGUUAGAGGUGAAAUCCCAAGGCUCAACCUUGGAACUGCCUUUGAUACUGGGGAUCUCGAGUCCGGAAGAGGUGAGUGGAACUGCGAGUGUAGAGGUGAAAUUCGUAGAUAUUCGCAAGAACACCAGUGGCGAAGGCGGCUCACUGGUCCGGUACUGACGCUGAGGUGCGAAAGCGUGGGGAGCAAACAGG
rnacentral:rRNA from 1 species